GCCGGGUUGGCUGAGCGGUUUUAGGCGUCUGCCUGCAAAGCAGAUCUACAGGGGUUCGAAUCCCUUGCCCGGCUCCA
rnacentral:tRNA from 1 species